rnacentral:rRNA from 1 species
GUGGGGAAUAUUGGACAAUGGGCGAAAGCCUGAUCCAGCCAUGCCGCAUGUGUGAAGAAGGUCUUCGGAUUGUAAAGCACUUUAAGUUGGGAGGAAGGGCAGUAAGUUAAUACCUUGCUGUUUUGACGUUACCGACAGAAUAAGCACCGGCUAACUUCGUGCCAGCAGCCGCGGUAAUACGAAGGGUGCAAGCGUUAAUCGGAAUUACUGGGCGUAAAGCGCGCGUAGGUGGUUUUGUAAGUUGGAGGUGAAAUCCCCGGGCUCAACCUGGGAACUGCCUCCAAAACUGCAUGACUAGAGUACGGUAGAGGGUAGUGGAAUUUCCUGUGUAGCGGUGAAAUGCGUAGAUAUAGGAAGGAACACCAGUGGCGAAGGCGACUACCUGGACUGAUACUGACACUGAGGUGCGAAAGCGUGGGGAGCAAACAGGAUUAGAUACCCGUGUAGUCC